UACGUAGGGUGCGAGCGUUGUCCGGAAUUAUUGGGCGUAAAGAGCUCGUAGGCGGCCUGUUGCGUCCGCUGUGAAAGCCCGGGGCUUAACCCCGGGUCUGCAGUGGAUACGGGCAGGCUAGAGUUCGGCAGGGGAGACUGGAAUUCCUGGUGUAGCGGUGAAAUGCGCAGAUAUCAGGAGGAACACCGGUGGCGAAGGCGGGUCUCUGGGCCGAUACUGACGCUGAGGAGCGAAAGCGUGGGGAGCGAACAGG
rnacentral:rRNA from 2 species